CUGUCUAUCUAUCUAUCUAUCUGAAGCAGAACAACAACAAGAGGGCGUUUUUGAGAAUUUAUCACAGUCCUAACUCAUAAUUAGAGAGGGACUACAAUGUCAUCCUUCUUACUAGCAAGCAAAAAGGCAAUACCUGUAAUGAAAUGAAAUAAAAAUAAACCCUACUGCACCAUAUUUGCAGGGACUGCCUUUAUACGCAGCAGCUUUUCCUCUGCCUUCUGUCUUCUUUCCACCUUAGUCACCACUUGAGGUUGAAAGUCCCCAAGACAAAAAUCUGUCCUAUAUAGGAAAAUAUAAAAAGUUGUUUGACCUGCUACUGCCAAAAAUUCAGUGAGAAAUCAGAUCAUCCGACUACCAAUAGGCCUACAUGUUGAGGCUUGUCACGGGGAUUUUCUAAACAAAACAAAACAAAACAAAGUCACUCAUCUGUAAAAAAGGGGAAUAAGGCAGGUCCGAUUACAAUUGCAAUAUUGAUGAUUGGCUUACAAUGAAAAUAAGUGCAAUUAUCAGGCCAGUUUUUCUUUUUCUUUUUUUUUUAAAGAAAGUAUUAAAUAUGGAGACUCAGUUCUGCAAUGAAUACAAGAGUUUUGUUAUCCCAAUGAUUGGAAAAGUGGGCUAUUUUUGGAUUCCACCACUUGUUGACAGCUUUCCUCUCAUAUAUAUAUUUAAAUUAUUCCAUCUGGUUCAUACGUUUUUUCUUAUGACUGUGCACUCCUGGCAACAGGCGCAGAGAAGCACAUGAGUCGCUGUCAUUCCGCACAUUUGCGGACGGGAGGAGUACUUGUUGCGAGCCAUACGGCGACGGCAGCGCGUCCCUGAGCUGUCAAGUAUUGCGCACAGCCUUCAGUCUUCAGUCAGUGGAGUAACCAGACUAAUCCAUCAGACAAACAACUCGGAAGAUUAUCCUUUUUAAGCCUAACGAAACUAGUUUUUGUCUCCAUAUCCGGAAGCCUGUUUUUAAAACCAUGAUCAUUUUGUCACAUGGCUUUGGAGAAUUCAAUAACAACAAAAAAUGGCGACAAUCACGUUGCUCUGUGUGGUCUUGCUGCGUCAUUAAAAAUAUUCAUGUAAACACGGGGAAUUCAACGGGAAAAUUGCAGUGCCCUGUGCAGCGAGGCUAAUGGAGUUGUUUACAUGAAGUGCAGAGGGCGGACUCACUGAAGAGGAGGAGGAGGAGCAGCGACGUCGGCCAGCGACGCGACCGGACUGCUCGAAAGGCUUCUCGCGCCGAGGGGGGCGGAGCCCGCGCGGAGAAUCAUAACAAGUCUGACGUCACUUGGCCUUGUGGUUGGUAUAAAAAUAAUAAUAAUAAUGUACAGUAGUUUGUCUCCAGCAAGUCCUAGCACGAAAGAGGAUAAGGAAAAAGAAAUCUUUGUACUUGUUUUAUGGGAUGGAAGAUUGGAGCCCUCUGUGCAACAGCAGAAUGGAAACAAAGAAAUGAUAGCAAAACACUCACAUAUGCAAAAUACAUGAAGGUGAAAAGCAAACACCCUCCUCAUCUGUCCAGUGUUUGCAAUCACCAAAUUCACAUGCAGCAGGUCACUGAGUUCAAGUUCCGCGUGUUGGACACUAUUAACCCGUGUUCACAGGUAGGCAAGAGGUUGCAUGAAUAUGAUUAUGCACUAUAAAAAAAACUGUUUAGUGAACAUAAUGAGUUUGUUUCAUAGCACAUAGGUCAUAUGCCAAAUGGAUUUCCUUUUGUGCUCACCAGUAGAUACUGUUUUUAUGCAACAUCUGAAUUGUUUGGUGAUUUUAAAAAAGGAUCAUACAACUUAGUUUUGUAUAUUAACAAGUACUUUUAAAAGCUUUCAUGCAUCAACAACAUCCAUAAAACUAAUUUUCAUCAUGUAAUGGACAACAGAGUCUCUCAUUUGCAAGACAGAAUCAAUAAUUGCACCACUUUGAUCGUGCAAAUAGCAAAACCUAUCAUGCACACUUAAAAGCUAGCUAAAAUAAACUAAUAAAAUAUCUUAGCCUGACUAAGUAAUAUAAAGGAAACCUGGUUUGUUAUGAUUGACAUGCUUAUUUAUCAAAGUAUGAAAUAUAGUUUAUGUAAUGUAUCCUUUUCACUCACAAAGGGUUCAAACGAGCUUUGUUAUUUUAUUUUUUACUGGUCUUAUAUUUCCCUAAAAUGUUGUGGAAUUGUGAAGACUUGAGCCCCAUGUUGGCUGGCAAAAGACGUCCAACUGUGACUAUUAGCGGGAAGGAUAUUUAAAAAACUAAUGUCUUCAAAUGAAGAAUUGUUUAGUUGCACAACUGUCUUAUUCAGUAGAUGAAUCUAUUAUAAUACUGUGUGCUACUUGAAAACUACUUGUUGCUACUCGUGCUACUACCAAAUGAGCAGUUAAAAAUGCAAAAGAAAAAACUUCUUCUGUGCACCUGUUGACCUACAGCGCACUGAUUAUGGAUGGAUGACAGAUGGAGUGAAGCCUCAGACUGCUAGAUUUGACAGGCUGCCCUGGUUCAGUUAUCACAGUGCUGAUGCUGUCCCCAUCGAAGGUACAGUACUGUGAUAACUGAAGGAUGGCUGCCAACUUGACACUAAUGCAGUGGAUCGAAGCACAUUCGGCUAAAAAGACAGAGUUGCCAAAGAGCAUGUGGAGAAGCGUGAGUAUGGAAACAAAAAGAAGCUGUUUCAGAUGUGUGCAAAUGUGUUUUUAUUUAGUACAUUGUUCUUCCUCUUUGAAUCUGUCAGUAUAUUGUUUUAUGUGAAAAAAACUGUUUAUCUGUUAUGUAUUUAAGUGGGCUUCAAGAAACAUUAAACCUGUAAUUUAUGAUUGUCCUCGGUGUUCAUGUAUUUAUAAUAUGACAAAUAAAGUGAAAUCUUUUUUUUA